UGACAGGAUCUGUGGUGGCGUGGUACAGU
rnacentral:piRNA from 1 species